rnacentral:lncRNA from 1 species
UUUUUUUUUUUUUUUUUUUUUUUUUUUAGAGAUGGGAUCUUGCUACGUUGGCCAGGCUGGUCUCGAACUCCUGGCCUGAAGUGAUCCUUCUGCCUUGGCCUCCCAAAAUGCUGAGAUUGUAGGCAUGAGCCGCCAUGCCUAGCCCAGCUUGUCUUUUUGUUUACUUACCAGUGUUUUUCAGAGAACAAAAAUUUUAAUUUGAUGAAGUCCAAUUAAUUAAAUUUUUAAAAUAGAGUGUGAUUUUUUUGUCAUGUCUAAGAAACUAUUGUCUAGUCCUAGGUCCUAAUUCUCCUUUGUUUUCUUCUAAAUGUUUUAUUAUUUUACAUGUUAACGUUUAGAUUUAUGAUCUAUUUUAAGUUUUUUUUAAGUAUGAGGUUUAUGUUUUUUGUUUGUGUUUAGGAGCAUAUGGAUGGAUGUCUAGUUGUUCCAGCACCAUUUGUUGGAAAGACUAUCCUUUCUCUGCUGAAUUUCUUUUAUAUCUUUGUCAGGAAUUAGCCAUAUUGGUAUGGGUCUAUUUCUAGACUUUUUAUUUUCUCCCAUUGAUCUGUACAUCUCUCCUUUUGCCAAUACCACAUAAGUCAAGAUGACUAUAGCUUUGUAAUAAGUAUUAAAAUCUGGUAAUAUAAUUCUUCCAAUUUUAUUUUUCUUUUAAAAUUAUUUUGACUAUUGUAUCAGUGUUACCUUUCCAUUUAAAUUUUAGGAUUAGCUUAGCUACAAAAGUCCUGCUGGGAUUUUGAUUAGAAUUGCAUUAAAUCUAUAGAUAAGUUUGGGGAGAAUUAACAUAUUUAUGAUCGCCUUUUAAUCCGUGAACAUGACGUGUCUCUCCAUUUAUUUGCAUGUUUAGUUUCUUUCUUCAGCAUUUUAUAGUUUUAGCAUACAGAUCUUGUACAUAUUUUCUUAGAUUUGUAACUAUUUUCUUGGAGCUGUUGUAAAUGGUAUUGUUUUUCUGAUUUUUGGUUUCUACUUGUUCAUUGCUGGUGUAUAGAAAUACAGUUGGCUUUUGUGUCGGCUUUGUAUCCCGUGAUGCAAGUAAAGCAGUACUGAGGGGAAUUUA